rnacentral:rRNA from 1 species
AGAUUGAACGCUGGCGGCAUGCCUUACACAUGCAAGUCGAACGGCAGCACGGGAGCAAUCCUGGUGGCGAGUGGCGAACGGGUGAGUAAUACAUCGGAACGUGCCCAAUCGUGGGGGAUAACGCAGCGAAAGCUGUGCUAAUACCGCAUAAGAUCUACGGAUGAAAGCAGGGAUCGCAAGACCUUGCGCGAAUGGAGCGGCCGAUGGCAGAUUAGGUAGUUGGUGAGGUAAAGGCUCACCAAGCCUUCGAUCUGUAGCUGGUCUGAGAGGACGACCAGCCACACGUGGACUGAGACGACGCCCAGACCUCCGACGGGAGGCAGACAGGUCGGGGAAUUUUGGACAAGUGGGACGAAAGCC